rnacentral:rRNA from 1 species
UAUAUUGGACAAUGGGGGCAAUCCUGAUCUAGCCUUGCUGUGUGUGUGAAGUUUGUCUUCGGAUUGUAAAGCACCUUAAGUCGGUAGGAACGGACUUUGGCUAAUACCCUGUAGUUUUGACGUUACCAACAGAUUACGCACUGGCUAACUCUGUGCCAGCAGCCGCGGUAAUACAGAGGGUGCAAGCGUUAAUCGGAAUUACUGGGCGUAAAGCGCGCGUAGGUGGUUCAGUAAGAUGGGUGUGAAAUCCCCGGGCUUAACCUGGGAACUGCUUUCAUAACUGCUGAGCUAGAGUACGGUAGAGGGUAGUGGAAUUUCCUGUGUAGCGGUGAAAUGCGUAGAUAUAGGAAGGAACACCAGUGGCGAAGGCGACUACCUGGACUGAUACUGACACUGAGGUGCGAAAGCGUGGGGAGCAAACA